rnacentral:lncRNA from 1 species
ACAGUUAGAAUGGCCUUUGAGUUGCCCCAAUUGGGUCACGAGGGGAAAGGCUUUAUACUCUGAAUCACUCAGUCACUGGAUCCAGGUGUCAGAUGCAACAGAGUUCUUCAAUGGUAUAAUACCCUACUCCAACAUCCCAGCAUAAGAUGUAUACUACACCAACAAACACGCUCAUUGGAAUGAGGGAGAAAUAAAUAUAAUAUGGUUCUUUGAAGUCAUACUUGAAAAGAGAAUUCUGAAUUAUUCUUUCAAGAGUAUCCUGAUGCAUAUAUCAACCUCAGUGAAUUUGGACUCUUCUCUCUCAGAAUAAUAGAUGUCCCACUACAUUGGAAAUUCCAUUAAAUUACAUAUUAAAUGUACACUAUAACUAACUG